UACAGAGGUCCCGAGCGUUGUUCGGAUUCAUUGGGCGUAAAGGGUGCGUAGGCGGCGGGGCAAGUCUGAUGUGAAAUCCCGGGGCUCAACCCCGGAACUGCAUUGGAUACUGCCUUGCUCGAGUACUGGAGAGGGAACUGGAAUUUACGGUGUAGCAGUGAAAUGCGUAGAUAUCGGGAGGAACACCUGAGGCGAAGGCGGGACUGACUGGCCGAGUACUGACGCUGAGUGUGCGAAAGCCAGGGGAG
rnacentral:rRNA from 1 species